rnacentral:rRNA from 1 species
AUACGGAGGGUGCAAGCGUUAAUCGGAAUUACUGGGCGUAAAGCGUGCGUAGGUGGUUUGUUAAGUCAGAUGUGAAAGCCCCGGGCUCAACCUGGGAACUGCAUUUGAAACUGGCAUACUAGAGUAUAGGAGAGGAAAGUGGAAUUUCAGGCGUAGCGGUGAAAUGCGUAGAUAUCUGAAGGAACAUCAAUGGCGAAGGCAGCUUUCUGGACUAAUACUGACACUGAGGUACGAAAGCGUGGGUAGCAAACAGGAUUAGAAACCCUAGUAGUCC